UAAUUAACGACGUUGAAAAGGAAAUUAAUUGAGUGUUUAUAGUUUCAACUAAACAAGGUUUAUCAUAGGUAUGAAGUGAAAUUUAAAAUUGCGCGAUGAUUAAGAAUAUUUAGAGUGUGGCCGUUCAGAUCUACCAGCGACUAUAUGCUCUAAGUAGAAUGUUAUAUUUUAAACACUGCGUAUAUUUAGCCUAUAGUUUUAUUUUUGUUAAUACUUUGAGCUUGAUAAGGCGGUCUUUUUAAUGGUACUACAGUGAGUGCGAUCUAGUUACGAAGACGGAUUGGUCGUGUUAUUAUGGAAUAAAAUCUUUAAUAGAAAGAAUUAUACAGCUUGCGAUUAAGCUAACCAAGGAGCUCAACAUUAUAUUUUCUAGGUACGAUUUUCCAAACAGUCCAAACACCAAGUAGACACGAUUUUUAUUUAAUUUAUGCGAAUGCAAGGCAUAAUACCA